rnacentral:lncRNA from 1 species
ACAUUAAAUCUUUAGACGCAUGCAUGAAGUAUUAAAUAUAGACAAAAAUAAAAACUAAUUGUACAAUUUGGUCGGAAUUGAUGAGACGACUCUUUUGAGUCUAAUUAGUACAUGAUUGGAUAGUAUUUGUCAAAUACAAACGAAAGUAUACUAUUCCUAUUUUGCAAAUAGACAAAAAUAAAAACUAAUUGCACUGUUUACCUGUAAUUUGUAAGAUGAAUCUUUUGAGCCUAAUUUUUUCAUAAUUGGACAAUGUUUGUCAAAUAAAUAUGAAAGUGCUACAGUAGCCAAAAACUGCAAUUUUUGCGAACUAAACAAGGCCUGAGAAAUGAAAAUGAAAAAAAAUGAAAAAAAUAUGAAUAAACAAAGAAAUAACUAUAGUGAUGUUCACGUAAUAUAUAUACGAUGUUCUUUAAAUUUUUUUCUUUGUUACAUGUAUUUAUUUUUUUCUUAUGCUUUGCUCUAGUUAUUAUUUGUAUUACAUUAUAUAUUUAUUUAUUUUCAUGUAUAUUAUAGUACCAAUUUCUUAUAAAUCUAGAAUAUUGCUUCUGCUCUAUAAAGGGCAGAGCCCUUUCUUCUCCUUCCCCACCGCGCCCGAUCUAGCCCUAACCGCCGCAUUUCUUAUAAAUCUGGAAAUGUGAUAUAAUAUUUGUUCCCUAUUUCUUCCUUCUUCUAGAUCGACGUCUCUCUGCCGUCGUCACCAAAGUCCCCGUCGAGUCUCCGCACCGACUGCCGUCUCACCGCCUUCAAACUACAUGUAUGUCGAGAUGAAUCUAUUAGUGGUACAAUUAGUGCUAUAAUUAGUGGUACAAUUAGUGGUUUAAAUUAGUGGUACAAUUAUGAUAUAUUUAAUUAUUAGCAAAUGAUAUACACUAAACCCUAAACCUAAGCCCUAAACCCUAAACCCUAAACCCUAACCCCUGAACCCUAACCCCUAAACCCUAACCCCUGA